rnacentral:rRNA from 1 species
CAGCAGUAGCCGCGGUAAUACGUAGGGUGCAAGCGUUAAUCGGAAUUACUGGGCGUAAAGCGUGCGCAGGCGGUCCGUUAAGACAGAUGUGAAAUCCCCGGGCUUAACCUGGGAACUGCAUUUGUGACUGGCGGGCUAGAGUAUGGCAGAGGGGGGUAGAAUUCCACGUGUAGCAGUGAAAUGCGUAGAGAUGUGGAGGAAUACCGAUGGCGAAGGCAGCCCCCUGGGCCAAUACUGACGCUCAUGCACGAAAGCGUGGGGAGCAAACAGGAUUAGAUACCCGAGUAGUCCCUGUCUCUUAUAC